CCGUGUACGUACAAGCAGUGGGAGCACAGAGCAAUCUGUGUGACUGCGUACCUUUUGUAUAAUGGGUCAGCGACUUAUAUUCUGUAGCAAGGUUAACCGAAUAGGGGAGCCGAAGGGAAACCGAGUCUUAACUGGGCGUUAAGUUGCAGGGUAUAGACCCGAAACCCGGUGAUCUAGCCAUGGGCAGGUUGAAGGUUGGGUAACACUAACUGGAGGACCGAACCGACUAAUGUUGAAAAAUUAGCGGAUGACUUGUGGCUGGGGGUGAAAGGCCAAUCAAACCGGGAGAUAGCUGGUUCUCCCCGAAAGCUAUUUAGGUAGCGCCUCGUGAAUUCAUCUCCGGGGGUAGAGCACUGUUUCGGCAAGGGGGUCAUCCCGACUUACCAACCCGAUGCAAACUGCGAAUACCGGAGAAUGUUAUCACGGGAGACACACGGCGGGUGCUAACGUCCGUCGUGAAGAGGGAAACAACCCAGACCGCCAGCUAAGGUCCCAAAGUCAUGGUUAAGUGGGAAACGAUGUGGGAAGGCCCAGACAGCCAGGAUGUUGGCUUAGAAGCAGCCAUCAUUUAAAGAAAGCGUAAUAGCUCACUGGUCGAGUCGGCCUGCGCGGAAGAUGUAACGGGGCUAAACCAUGCACCGAAGCUGCGGCAGCGACACUGUGUGUUGUUGGGUAGGGGAGCGUUCUGUAAGCCUGUGAAGGUGUGCUGUGAGGCAUGCUGGAGGUAUCAGAAGUGCGAAUGCUGACAUAAGUAACGAUAAAGCGGGUGAAAAGCCCGCUCGCCGGAAGACCAAGGGUUCCUGUCCAACGUUAAUCGGGGCAGGGUGAGUCGACCCCUAAGGCGAGGCCGAAAGGCGUAGUCGAUGGGAAACAGGUUAAUAUUCCUGUACUUGGUGUUACUGCGAAGGGGGGACGGAGAAGGCUAUGUUGGCCGGGCGACGGUUGUCCCGGUUUAAGCGUGUAGGCUGGUUUUCCAGGCAAAUCCGGAAAAUCAAGGCUGAGGCGUGAUGACGAGGCACUACGGUGCUGAAGCAACAAAUGCCCUGCUUCCAGGAAAAGCCUCUAAGCAUCAGGUAACAUCAAAUCGUACCCCAAACCGACACAGGUGGUCAGGUAGAGAAUACCAAGGCGCUUGAGAGAACUCGGGUGAAGGAACUAGGCAAAAUGGUGCCGUAACUUCGGGAGAAGGCACGCUGAUAUGUAGGUGAAGUCCCUCGCGGAUGGAGCUGAAAUCAGUCGAAGAUACCAGCUGGCUGCAACUGUUUAUUAAAAACACAGCACUGUGCAAACACGAAAGUGGACGUAUACGGUGUGACGCCUGCCCGGUGCCGGAAGGUUAAUUGAUGGGGUCAGCGCAAGCGAAGCUCUUGAUCGAAGCCCCGGUAAACGGCGGCCGUAACUAUAACGGUCCUAAGGUAGCGAAAUUCCUUGUCGGGUAAGUUCCGACCUGCACGAAUGGCGUAAUGAUGGCCAGGCUGUCUCCACCCGAGACUCAGUGAAAUUGAACUCGCUGUGAAGAUGCAGUGUACCCGCGGCAAGACGGAAAGACCCCGUGAACCUUUACUAUAGCUUGACACUGAACAUUGAGCCUUGAUGUGUAGGAUAGGUGGGAGGCUUUGAAGUGUGGACGCCAGUCUGCAUGGAGCCGACCUUGAAAUACCACCCUUUAAUGUUUGAUGUUCUAACGUGGACCCGUGAUCCGGGUUGCGGACAGUGUCUGGUGGGUAGUUUGACUGGGGCGGUCUCCUCCUAAAGAGUAACGGAGGAGCACGAAGGUUGGCUAAUCCUGGUCGGACAUCAGGAGGUUAGUGCAAUGGCAUAAGCCAGCUUGACUGCGAGCGUGACGGCGCGAGCAGGUGCGAAAGCAGGUCAUAGUGAUCCGGUGGUUCUGAAUGGAAGGGCCAUCGCUCAACGGAUAAAAGGUACUCCGGGGAUAACAGGCUGAUACCGCCCAAGAGUUCAUAUCGACGGCGGUGUUUGGCACCUCGAUGUCGGCUCAUCACAUCCUGGGGCUGAAGUAGGUCCCAAGGGUAUGGCUGUUCGCCAUUUAAAGUGGUACGCGAGCUGGGUUUAGAACGUCGUGAGACAGUUCGGUCCCUAUCUGCCGUGGGCGCUGGAGAACUGAGGGGGGCUGCUCCUAGUACGAGAGGACCGGAGUGGACGCAUCACUGGUGUUCGGGUUGUCAUGCCAAUGGCACUGCCCGGUAGCUAAAUGCGGAAGAGAUAAGUGCUGAAAGCAUCUAAGCACGAAACUUGCCCCGAGAUGAGUUCUCCCUGACCCUUUAAGGGUCCUGAAGGAACGUUGAAGACGACGACGUUGAUAGGCCGGGUGUGUAAGCGCAGCGAUGCGUUGAGCUAACCGGUACUAAUGAACCGUGAGGCUUAACCUUACAACGCCGAAGGUGUUU
rnacentral:rRNA from 1 species